rnacentral:rRNA from 1 species
UACGAAGGGGGCUAGCGUUGCUCGGAAUCACUGGGCGUAAAGCGCACGUAGGCGGAUUGUUAAGUCAGGGGUGAAAUCCUGGAGCUCAACUCCAGAACUGCCUUUGAUACUGGCGAUCUUGAGUCCGGGAGAGGUGAGUGGAACUGCGAGUGUAGAGGUGAAAUUCGUAGAUAUUCGCAAGAACACCAGUGGCGAAGGCGGCUCACUGGCCCGGUACUGACGCUGAGGUGCGAAAGCGUGGGGAGCAACAG